rnacentral:rRNA from 1 species
AAGCGGUGGAGUAUGUGGUUUAAUCGUUGCUACACGAAGAGCUUACCUGGUUUGACAUAUAGGUUGUAGGGAACUGAAGAGGACCGACCCUUCGGGGAGCCUAUACAGGUGUUGCAUGGCUGUCGUCAGCUCGUGUCGUGAGAUGUUCGGUUAAGUCCGCUAACGAGCGCAACCCUCGUCGUAUGUUAUAUGUGUCAUACGAGACUGCCGGUAAAAGCCGGAGGAAGGUGAGGAUGAUGUCAAGUCAGCAUGACCUUUAUAUCCAGGGCUACACACACGCUACAAUGGUCUGUACAAUGGGUAGCCAAGCCGCGAGGCGGAGCCAAUCCUGAAAGCAGGCCUCAGUUCAGAUUGCAGUCUGCAACUCGACUGCAUGAAGCCGGAGUUGCUAGUAACCGCAGGUCAGCAAUACUGCGGUGAAUACGUUCCCGGGUCUU